GACGAACCGUGCGAACGUUAUUCGGAAUCACUGGGCUUACAGAGUUCGUAGGCGGUCUGGAAAGUUGGGUGUGAAAUCCCUCGGCUCAACCGAGGAACUGCGCUUGAAACUACCAGACUCGAGGGAGAUAGAGGAAAGCGGAACUGAUGGUGGAGCGGUGAAAUGCGUUGAUAUCAUCAGGAACACCGGUGGCGAAGGCGGCUUUCUGGGUCUUACCUGACGCUGAGGAACGAAAGCCAGGGGAGCGAACGGG
rnacentral:rRNA from 1 species